rnacentral:rRNA from 1 species
UACGUAGGUGACCAGCGUUGUCCGGAUUUACUGUGCGUAAAGAGCGCGCAGGCGGUCGUUCAAGUCGAGUGUGAAAGCCCCCGGCUCAACUGGGGAGGGUCAUUCGAUACUGAUCGACUCGAAGGCAGGAGAGGGAAGCGGAAUUCCCGGUGUAGUGGUGAAAUGCGUAGAUAUCGGGAGGAACACCAGUGGCGAAGGCGGCUUCCUGGCCUGUUCUUGACGCUGAGGCGCGAAAGCUAGGGGAGCAAACGGG